AACAAGCCGCAGGGGUGGAGCUUUGGCUCCUGAGAGCUCCCAGUAGGGAGCAACCCUUUGAACCUGAUCCGGGUAAUACCGGCGUAGGGAGCGGCGAGAAUUUUCUU
rnacentral:ncRNA from 2 species